GAUGAACGCUGGCGGCAUGCCUAACACAUGCAAGUCGAGCGAACAGACAAGAAGCUUGCGCUCUUGCCGGUGGCGGCGGGCGGGUGAGUAACGCGUGCAUCACCUUCUUCUUUUUCUUGGAUAACAACGGGGAAAAGCUGCCGAUACUACAGCAUAUAAUGUACCGCUUAGAUCAGUAGUUCUUCGCGGCUUUGCCGAUUGAUUUAGCUGAUUCCGCGUCGCAUUAGCUAGUUGGUAAGGUAACGGCUUACCAAGGCAACGAUGCGUAGCUGAGCUGAGAGGGUGAUCAGCCACACUGGAACUGAGACACGGUCCAGACUCCUACGGGAGGCAGCAGUAGGGAAUCUUCGGCAAUGGGCGAAAGCCUGACGCAGCAACGCCGCGUGAGUGAUGAAGGUCUUCGGAUUGUAAAGCUCUUUUAUUGGGGAAGAACAGCUGUAUGUGAAUCUAUGCACGUCCUGACGGUACCUAAAGAGUAAGCCACGGCUAACUACGUG
rnacentral:rRNA from 1 species